AGAGGAGACAUUCAUGGAACGAAGUUCCAUUUAGUAUGAAUGUCGACGACCUGUCACAGAGCGUAGCGAUGUGACGCUACC
rnacentral:sRNA from 1 species